UUUGCUCUCCGCAAGUGUUGCCAUUGUCGUCGGUACUAGCAAUUCCUCCCCACGUUCUUCAAAACUUUAACCCCACAGCUCCUUUUCCAUUUCUUCCCCACCUCUCUCUCUCUCUCUCCUCUCUCUCUCCCUCUCCCUACAAAACCUUCAUCUUCGACGUUUCUGCUAAUCAGUUCAUGUUAUUUCUAAUAUCAGGAAGAGCUUCCGUAGGCAGUCAUGGUGAUCAGCACUACCAGUGUGAUUGACCAUGAAUUUCAGAAUGAAUUAUGUGAAAAUGGUUUCAAUCCUCCCAAAAAUGUGGAAGAAGAUUUAGCGAUGACGGAAAAUCGAAAAGAACUGGGACAGUGUGGACUGCUUGUGCGCACAUAAUCACAACAUCAGUUGGUGCUGGAGUGCUCUCUCUGGCAUGGGCAAUGGCUCAACUUGGCUGGCUUGGUGGCAUUUCCAUUCUCUUGUUUUGCACAUUUGGUGCACUUUAUGCUGCCACUCUCUUAGCAGAUUGCUACAGAUUUCCAGACCCAGUCACUGGCAAGAGAAAUUACUCUUACAUGGAGGCUGUCAAAGCCUAUUUAGGUGGAACAAUUUACAAGUUCUGUGGAUGGAUGAUAUAUUUAAAUCUUGCUACCAUUGGAGUUGGCUUUACAAUAACUACGGUAAAGAGCAUGAUGUAAGUUUUUCUUUAUUUGUGGAGGAGGAAUCGGGACAUUAAUAUCACUAGACUAAUAGCUAAUAUGAAUUUUUACAUGAAUUUGAGUAAUCAGUGCCAUAUAGAAACCGAAUUGCCAUCGCAAAAAUGGUGGUGAUGACCCAUGCAAGUUCUCCAACAUUCCUCAUGUGAUUGGAUUUGGAAUUGUAGAAAUUUUCUUAUCACAACUCCCAAACUUUCACAAGCUCUCUGGGCUCUCAAAGGUUGCAGCAAUUAUGUCUUUUGGGUAUGCCUUUAUCGGAAUUGGACUUUCCAUGACAAAAAUCAUAUCGGGUAAGUAACUCCUUUCCACAAAAUCUGAAACCUCACCUCCCAAAAUGAAAAAUGAGAACGACAUGGAAAGGUAUCGAACAAUGGAGAAAUUCUUAUGCAUGGACGUUCGUAUAAUGCACCAUUCACACAAAAGGUGGGCUCCUUUGCAUGCAUGUUGGUUCCAUUUGAUCCCACUUUUUGUGUCAAUAGUGCCGCUUACUGACGAACAUAAGAAUUCUCCACACUAGGUUUAAAGUAUGAUUUAAAAUAAGAAAAAAAAAAAUUUGCUUGAGCAGGGCAUGGAGGAAAAACCUCUCUUGCAGGAGUGGACCUGCCUUUAUCUGAAAAAAAUUGGAGGAUGUUUGCAGCAGCUGGAGACAUGGCCUUUGCUUGCUCAUAUGCCCUAGUACUUUUGGAUAUCCAAGACACUCUAAAGUCAUCGCCACCAGAAAACAAAGUGAUGAAGAAGGCUGUGUCAAUAAGGGGUUUGGUUAUGUUAAUAUUAUUCAUGAUGUGUGUGGUCCGUUGGGAUAUGCUGCAUUUGGAGAUAAGACCCCAGAAAACCUAAUGGCUGGCGGUUUUGGAGAUGAUAUAGCCUUCUGGCUCGUUGAUACGUACGGCUAAUGUUUUUAUUGUGGUGCACAUAGUUGGUGCAUAUCAGUGUUUCGAGUUAUUGAACUAUUGGCUAGAAGGAGGUGGCCCAAGUCCAAGUUCAUAAACAGGGAGAUCCCAAUCAGACUUGGGAAGGUAAAGUUGAACAUGAACAUGUUUAGGCUGUCAUGGAGGACAGCCUAUGGAGUGUUGGUCUCAUUUCUUGCCAUAGCUCUGCCAUUCUUCUCCGACAUGCUGGGCCUUCUUGGAGCCCUAGGUUACUGGCCACUCAUAGUUUACAUUCCAGUGGAGAUGCACAUUGUGCAAAACAAGAUUGCAAAAGGUACAAUUAGAUGGUUUGAGCUCCAAUUGCUGAGCCUUUUGUGCUUGAUUCUUUCUUUGGCUGCAGCAUCUGGUGCCAUUCAUGGUCUGUAUAAGGGUCUCAAAGCCUACAAGGCCUUCCAAAUUAAAGAGUGAAGUGACCCGAAAGUUAGCAUAUGCUUCGAUAUCGGCAUAUAGCUUAUGUGUAUUAGAUAAAAGGAUUUUGCUAAAAAAAAAAAAAAAAAAAAAAAAGACAUUUGCCUUCGC